UGGAAAAGCAGAGCUGCCUACCCUGAGU
rnacentral:piRNA from 1 species